CAAGAUCCACACCGCACCAGCAGAUACAAAGCCCCAUCUGGUGGUGAAUUAAGAGUCUGUCAGACGGAAAAAAACCGCUACCAUGACUUGCGCACUGGUGCAUACAUGCAAUCCAUUAUUCAGGAGGCUGAAUGAAGAACACCAAUCUGGAGUUUGAAGACAACCUGGAGGACACUAUGCUGUCCUGGAGUUUGAGGACAACAUAGAAAAACUGUCUCAAAAAAAAAAAAAAAAAAAAAAAAAAA